rnacentral:rRNA from 1 species
AUUGAACGCUGGCGGCAUGCCUUACACAUGCAAGUCGAACGGCAGCAUGGAAGAGCUUGCUCUUCUGAUGGCGAGUGGCGAACGGGUGAGUAAAGCAUCGGAACGUACCGUGUAGUGGGGGGAUAACGUAGCGAAAGUUACGCUAAUACCGCAUACGCACUGAGGUGGAAAGCAGGGGGAUCGCAAGACCUUGCGCUAUACGAGCGGCCGAUGUCAGAUUAGCUAGUUGGUAGGGUAAAGGCCUACCAAGGCGACGAUCCUGUAGCGGGUCUGAGAGGAUGAUCCGCCACACUGGGACUGAGACACGGCCCAGACUCCUACGGGAGGCAGCAGUGGGGAAUUUUGGACAAUGGGCGAAAGCCUGAUCCAGCCAUGCCGCGUGAGUGAAGAAGGCCUGGUGUAAG